GGUGCGGUGGUCUAGUGGUUAGCGCGCUUGCCCUGCAUGUCCGGGGUUGAGGGUUCGAUUCCCGCCUCAGCCC